UAGGGAAUCUUCCGCAAUGGGCGAAAGCCUGACGGAGCAACGCCGCGUGAGUGAUGAAGGUCUUCGGAUCGUAAAACUCUGUUAUUAGGGAAGAAUAUAUGUGUAAGUAACUGUGCACAUCUUGACGGUACCUAAUCAGAAAGCCACGGCUAACUACGUGCCAGCAGCCGCGGUAAUACGUAGGUGGCAAGCGUUAUCCGGAAUUAUUGGGCGUAAAGCGCGCGUAGGCGGUUUUUUAAGUCUGAUGUGAAAGCCCACGGCUCAACCGUGGAGGGUCAUUGGAAACUGGAAAACUUGAGUGCAGAAGAGGAAAGUGGAAUUCCAUGUGUAGCGGUGAAAUGCGCAGAGAUAUGGAGGAACACCAGUGGCGAAGGCGACUUUCUGGUCUGUAACUGACGCUGAUGUGCGAAAGCGUGGGGGAUCAAACAGGAUUAGAUACCCUGGUAGUCCACGCCGUAAACGAUGAGUGCUAAGUGUUAGGGGGGUUUCCGCCCCUUAGUGCUGCAGCUAACGCAUUAAGCACUCCGCCUGGGGAGUACGACCGCAAGGUUG
rnacentral:rRNA from 1 species